rnacentral:rRNA from 1 species
ACGAACGCUGGCGGCGUGCUUAACACAUGCAAGUCGAACGGAAAGGCCCUGCUUUUGUGGGGUGCUCGCGUGGCGAACGGGUGAGUAACACGUGAGUAACCUGCCCUUGACUUUGGGAUAACUUCAGGAAACUGGGGCUAAUACCGGAUAGGAGCUCCUGCUGCAUGGUGGGGGUUGGUAAGUUUCGGCGGUUGGGGAUGGACUCGCGGCUUAUCAGCUUGUUGGUGGGGUAGUGGCCUACCAAGGCUUUGACGGGUAGCCGGCCUGAGAGGGUGACCGGCCACAGUGGGACUGAGAUACGGCCCAGACUCCUACGGGAGGCAGCAGUGGGGAAUAUUGCACAAUGGGCGGAAGCCUGAUGCAGCAACGCCGCGUGCGGGAUGACGGCCUUCGGGUUGUAAACCGCUUUCGCCUGUGACGAAGCGUGAGUGACGGUAAUGGGUAAAGAAGCACCGGCUAACUACGUG